rnacentral:lncRNA from 1 species
GAAGAGAUGGCCGCUGAUUCGAUUUGAUUUUGAAAAGAAGAACCCUAAGUUGGCGGAUUCAAUUUGGAGAGAUUGUCGCUGCUGGAUUUGAGUUUUGGGUAAAAGAAAACUCUAGGUUUCCCUAAUUCGAUUUGAGGAGAAAGGCGUUGAUAAAAAAUGGAAUAUAAGUGGGAAAAUAAAAAAUAAAAAAAUAAAAAAUAAAAAAUAAAUAUAAAAUGACAUUUAAAUGUAAAUGACGAAAUUACCCUGCCGCAUUAUUGAAAUCCGGCGAAGUUCUGAACGGAAUACAUUUUCGGGGCAAACUGCUCCUAGUUUUAUAUUUUGAAGGGGGAAAGUCUCUUUUAUAUAUUUUCAGGGGGGAAAGUGCAAAAAGUUGAUUU